rnacentral:rRNA from 1 species
UACGAAGGGGGCUAGCGUUGUUCGGAAUUACUGGGCGUAAAGCGCACGUAGGCGGACAUUUAAGUCAGGGGUGAAGUCCCGGGGCUCAACCCCGGAACUGCCUUUGAUACUGGGUGUCUUGAGUCCGGAAGAGGUGAGUGGAAUUCCGAGUGUAGAGGUGAAAUUCGUAGAUAUUCGGAGGAACACCAGUGGCGAAGGCGGCUCACUGGUCCGGUACUGACGCUGAGGUGCGAAAGCGUGGGGAGCAAACAGG